AACGCGUAUGCAAUCUGCCUUUCACAGAGGGAUAGCCCAGAGAAAUUUGGAUUAAUACCUCAUAGUAUAAUCAAGCCGCAUGGUUUAAUUAUUAAAGUCACAACGGUGAAAGAUGAGCAUGCGUCCCAUUAGCUAGUUGGUAAGGUAACGGCUUACCAAGGCAACGAUGGGUAGGGGUCCUGAGAGGGAGAUCCCCCACACUGGUACUGAGACACGGACCAGACUUAUACGGGAGGCAGCAGUGAGGAAUAUUGGACAAUGGGCGCAAGCCUGAUCCAGCCAUGCCGCGUGCAGGAUGACGGUCCUAUGGAUUGUAAACUGCUUUUGUACGAGAAGAAACAUCCCGACGUGUCGGGACUUGACGGUAUCGUAAGAAUAAGGAUCGGCUAACUCCGUGCCAGCAGCCGCGGUAAUACGGAGGAUCCAAGCGUUAUCCGGAAUCAUUGGGUUUAAAGGGUCCGUAGGCGGUUUAGUAAGUCAGUGGUGAAAGCCCAUCGCUCAACGGUGGAACGGCCAUUGAUACUGCUGAACUUGAAUUAUUAGGAAGUAACUAGAAUAUGUAGNUAGCGGUGAAAUGCUUAGAUAUUACAUGGAAUACCAAUUGCGAAGGCAGGUUACUACUAAUGGAUUGACGCUGAUGGACGAAAGCGUGGGGAGCGAACAGGAUUAGAUACCCUGUUAGUCCACGCCGUAAACGAUNNAUACUAGCUGUUGGGGGCAACUUCAGUGGCUAAGCGAAAGUGAUAAGUAUCCCACCUGGGGAGUACGUUCGCAAGAAUGAAACUCAAAGGAAUUGACGGGGGCCCGCACAAGCGGGGGAG
rnacentral:rRNA from 1 species